UCCCACUUAGCUCAGCUGGUAGAGCAUGAGACUCUUAAUCUUAGGGUCGUGAGUUUAAGCCCCACCCUGGGCAAAA